rnacentral:lncRNA from 1 species
AUUUUAACUUCUUAAUUGAGAUUUCCAUUAGGGUGCGUUUGGUUUGUGUUAUAUUUUUAAGAUUCCUAAUAAUCUAAUAGAAAUAAUAAAAUAUGACGGUGUUUGGCUAAACGCAUUAAGUAAUCUAAUUGGUAAUAUUAUAUUUACUUGGGAAUGAGAUUUAUCCCAAAGUACAAAUCUCAUUCCCUUGAGAGAGGGUGGGUAUCCUCAUAUUAAUGAAUUGAGGUAAUCAUAAUAUGUCUAAUAUCUUUCUUUCUUCCAAUCCGCCAGUUAGUUGGUAUUAUUUUUCUUUACACUCUAACCUCAUAUCUCUCUCUAAACUUCAACUCUUUUUCUCUCUCUAAACUAAGCUCGCUCUCCCCCUUUUUCCUAAAAUCUCAAUUCUCUCACUCCCUCUAAUCCCGAUUCUAUUUCUUUUCCUAUUUUUGUAAUUAUGCUUUCUCUCUCUAACCUAUGUUCUCUCUCCUUUUUUUUCUAAAAAGAUGUUAAAAUUUAUUGUAGCAUUAUCUAAAAUUAAUUAAAGAAAUAAAUAAAUUAAUUGUAUAUUUUUUUGUAAUCUUAAAUAACAUGAUUAAAUAAUAUGACCAUACGAACCAAAGACAGUAAUACCAUAUUCUUAGUAAUAGGAUGAGUAUGAAUAAAAUUCUCUGAUAUUUUUUUAUUCCUAGUAAUCUUUCAUAGUGCCAACCAAACGUACCCUUAACUUUUUAAAUUUUUAUUCAAGUUUUUAUAGUUAAUUA